rnacentral:rRNA from 1 species
UACGAAGGGGCUAGCGUUGCUCGGAAUUACUGGGCGUAAAGCGCACGUAGGCGGCUCUUAAGUCGGGUGGUGAAAUCCUGGAGCUCAACUCCAGAACUGCCUCGAUACUGGGAGCUCGAGUCCGGGAGAGGUGAGUGGAACUGCGAGUGUAGAGGUGAAAUUCGUAGAUAUUCGCAAGAACACCAGUGGCGAAGGCGGCUCACUGGCCCGGUACUGACGCUGAGGUGCGAAAGCGUGGGGAGCAAACAGGG